GACGAACGCUGGCGGCGUGCUUAACACAUGCAAGUCGAACGGAAAGGCCCCUUUGGGGGUACUCGAGUGGCGAACGGGGGAGUAACACGUGAGUAACCUGCCCUUGACUUCGGGAUAACUUCAGGAAACUGGGGCUAAUACCGGAUAGGAAUCCUUGCUGCAUGGUGGGGGUUGGAAAGCUUCGGCGGUUUUGGAUGGACUCGCGGCUUAUCAGCUUGUUGGUGGGGUAGUGGCUUACCAAGGCUUUGACGGGUAGCCGGCCUGAGAGGGCGACCGGCCACAUUGGGACUGAGAUACGGCCCAGACUCCUACGGGAGGCAGCAGUGGGGAAUAUUGAACCAUGGGCGGCAGCCUGAUGCAGCAACGCCGCGUGCGGGAUGACGGCCUUCGGGUUGUAAAACGAUUUCAGCAGGGGCGAAGCUUGUGGUGACGGUACCUGCAGAAGAAGCACCGGCUAACUACGUG
rnacentral:rRNA from 1 species